rnacentral:rRNA from 1 species
UACGGGGGGUGCGAGCGUUGUCCGGAAUCACUGGGCGUAAAGGGCGCGUAGGUGGUUUGAUAAGGGUGUGGUGAAAGUCCGGAGCUCAACUCCGGAUCUGCCGUGCCGACUGUCAAACUCGAGGGCUGUAGAGGCAGACGGAAUUCCGGGUGGAUGACGGUGGAAAUGCGUAGAGAUCCGGAGGAACACCGAAGGCGAAGGCAGUCUCCUGGCAAGUUUCUGACGCUCAGGUGCGAAAGCUAGGGGAGCGAACGAGG